CCUACGGGAGGCAGCAGUGGGGAAUUUUGGACAAUGGGCGCAAGCCUGAUCCAGCAAUGCCGCGUGAGUGAAGAAGGCCUUCGGGUUGUAAAGCUCUUUUGUCAGGGAAGAAACGGUGAGCUCUAAUACAGUUUGCUAAUGACGGUACCUGAAGAAUAAGCACCGGCUAACUACGUGCCAGCAGCCGCGGUAAUACGUAGGGUGCAAGCGUUAAUCGGAAUUACUGGGCGUAAAGCGUGCGCAGGCGGUUUUGUAAGUCUGUCGUGAAAUCCCCGGGCUCAACCUGGGAAUGGCGAUGGAGACUGCAAGGCUAGAGUUUGGCAGAGGGGGGUAGAAUUCCACGUGUAGCAGUGAAAUGCGUAGAUAUGUGGAGGAACACCGAUGGCGAAGGCAGCCCCCUGGGUCAAAACUGACGCUCAUGCACGAAAGCGUGGGGAGCAAACAGGAUUAGAUACCCUGGUAGUCCACGCCCUAAACGAUGUCUACUAGUUGUCGGGUCUUAAUUGACUUGGUAACGCAGCUAACGCGNGAGUAGACGCCGCGGAGGUACGGUCGCGAGAAGUAAACGUAACAAACGAAGUAAGUAGUACGCGNGAGAGACGACGACGACGACGACGGAGGGAGGAGG
rnacentral:rRNA from 1 species